rnacentral:rRNA from 1 species
GACGAACGCUGACGGCGUGCUUUAGACAUGCAAGUCGAACGAGAAAGCCCUUCGGGGUGAGUAAAGUGGCGAACGGGUGAGUAACACGUGGGCAAUCUGCCCUUCGUUGGGGGACAACCGGGGGAAACCCCGGCUAAUACCCCGUAAGCUCGUCGGGUCGCAUGGCCUGACAAGGAGAGGUAGCUUCGGCCAUCCGGCGAAGGAGGAGCCCGCGGUACAUUAGCUAGUUGGUGAGGUAAAGGCUCACCAAGGCUACGAUGUAUAGCUGGUCUGAGAGGAGGAUCAGCCACACUGGGACUGAGACACGGCCCAGACGCCUACGGGGGGCAGCAGUCGGGAAUCUUGCACAAUGGGCGAAAGCCUGAUGCAGCAACGCCGUGUGAGCGACGAAGGCCCUAGGGUCGUAAAGCUCUGUUGUUAGGGACGAAGGGCGAAGGGUUAAUAGCCCUUAGCCUGACGGUACCUUUCGAGGAAGCCCCGGCUAACUACGUGCCAGCAGCCGCCGUAA